rnacentral:rRNA from 1 species
CCUACGGGGGGCAGCAGUGGGGAAUAUUGCACAAUGGGGGAAACCCUGAUGCAGCAACGCCGCGUGAGCGAUGAAGGCCUUCGGGUCGUAAAGCUCUGUCCUAAGGGAAGAAUACUGACGGUACCUUAGGAGGAAGCCCCGGCUACCAAGUGCCAACCGGCGGGGUAAUACGGAGGGGGCUAGGCUUAACCGGAAUUACUGGGCGUAAAGGGUGCGUAGGCGGCCCUUCAAGUCAGAGGUGAAAGGCUACGGCUCAACCGUAGUAAGCCUUUGAAACUGUAGGGCUUGAGUGCAGGAGAGGAGAGUGGAAUUCCCAGUGUAGCGGUGAAAUGCGUAGAUAUUGGGAGGAACACCAGUUGCGAAGGCGGCUCUCUGGACUGUAACUGACGCUAAGGCACGAAAGCGUGGGGAGCAAACAGGAUUAGAUACCCCUGUAGUC